GAUGAACGCUGGCGGCGUGCCUAAUACAUGCAAGUCGAGCGAACGGACGAGAAGCUUGCUUCUCUGAUGUUAGCGGCGGACGGGUGAGUAACACGUGGAUAGCCUACCUAUAAGACUGGGAUAACUUCGGGAAACCGGAGCUAAUACCGGAUAAUAUUUUGAACCGCAUGGUUCAAAAGUGAAAGACGGUCUUGCUGUCACUUAUAGAUGGAUCCGCGCUGCAUUAGCUAGUUGGUAAGGUAACGGCUUACCAAGGCAACGAUGCAUAGCCGACCUGAGAGGGUGAUCGGCCACACUGGAACUGAGACACGGUCCAGACUCCUACGGGAGGCAGCAGUAGGGAAUCUUCCGCAAUGGGCGAAAGCCUGACGGAGCAACGCCGCGUGAGUGAUGAAGGUCUUCGGAUCGUAAAACUCUGUUAUUAGGGAAGAACAUAUGUGUAAGUAACUGUGCACAUCUUGACGGUACCUAAUCAGAAAGCCCCGGCUAACUACGUG
rnacentral:rRNA from 1 species